GACGAACGCUGGCGGCGUGCUUAACACAUGCAAGUCGAACGGAAAGGCCCUGCUUUUUUGGGGUGCUCGAGUGGCGAACGGGUGAGUAACACGUGAGUAACCUGCCCUUGACUUUGGGAUAACUUCAGGAAACUGGGGCUAAUACCUGAUAGGAGCUCCUUCUGCAUGGUGGGGGUUGGAAAGUUUCGGCGGUUGGGGAUGGACUCGCGGCUUAUCAGCUUUUUGGUGGGGUAGUGGCUUACCAAGGCUUUGACGGGUAGCCGGCCUGUGAGGGUGACCGGCGACAAUAGGACUAAGGUACGGCGCAGACGCCUACGGGAGGAAGCAGUGGGGAGUAUUACAGAACGGGGGGAAGCAUGAUGAAGCAACGACGCGUGCGGGAUGACGGCCUUCGGGUUGUAAACCGCUUUCGCCUGUGACGAAGCGUGAGUGACGGUAAUGGGUAAAGAAGCACCGGCUAACUACGUG
rnacentral:rRNA from 1 species